CGAUAGUGGGCGUCUUCUUCCUGGGAGCUCUAGUACCAUGGACAAAUAAAAUCGGUGCGAUAGCAGGAUUGAUCGUGUCUCUCCUACUGAGCACGUGGAUGAGCAUCGGGGCAGCGUUGUAUGGACGGAGACCUGUACCCCUUCCCCCAGCUCCCGGCAACUCCUGUGACGUUUUCUCUCUGGCCACCGUCAACGGCGGAAACAUCUCCACAAGGUUGCCAUCAAUGCUAAAUAUAACACCGGCAUCGUUCAGUAACGUCACAGAGAACGAGGGACUCUUCUUUUACAACAUCUCUUACCAACACUACGGUCUUACAGCCUGGCUUUUUGCAUUAAU